GUUUUGUCUUGUUUCAGGGGUGGACACCAGGUUGAAGUUCACUAUCGAACCUUCUUUGGGCAAGAACGGCUUUCAACAAUGGUACGACGCACUGAAAGCAGUGGCCAGACUCCCAGUAGGGAUUCCCAAAGAGUGGAGGAAGAGGGUAUGGCUGACCCUGGCUGACCAGUACCU